AAAGGAUAUCUAAUCGAGAGAUUAAAUUAAAGAGAGAUUCCCUACAAUAGUGAGAUACUCUAUAUGCUCUUUUUGAAUAAAACAAAGCUUCAGGAUUUUCCAGGUCCUCCUUAAUGAGAUUGAUAGCUACUCAAACAAAAUUGACUAUUUACAUAUGAAAAAUUAAAUGAAUCUUCACUAUCUAGGCUGUAACACAUAGUUGGAGGGACAACCUAGUAUAUGUCUUUGGGUACAUGUAUCUUGGGACAGAUGCCAUUGUUGUUCAUCUGUCUUUUCAAAGAAGACCAAUAACAUCAUGAUGUGAUUUCUUGACUUGUCCAUGAUUUGAAUUUAAGUGAAGCAGAGUUACACAAAAUCACUAGCCUUAUUUUCUAUUCCAGAGACAUGUUAGGAUAACUGGUAAUGACCAAGGAUGCAAUCGAUGACUUUGGGACAGUGGAUAGCCUUGAUGUCUUUGAUGUCUAACCAAGCGGCUCUGCAACCUAUUUUUCUAGUGGAAUAACCUGGGGAAUAUGUUUCUGAAAGUCUUGAAGGUGAAAAACAAAAAGUCUUUGUAACAACAGAAAGAGAAAUAAAAAAUCAAAUGAACAU
rnacentral:lncRNA from 1 species